rnacentral:rRNA from 1 species
UGGGGAAUAUUGGACAAUGGGCGAAAGCCUGAUCCAGCCAUGCCGCGUGUGUGAAGAAGGUCUUCGGAUUGUAAAGCACUUUAAGUUGGGAGGAGGGUACUGGUAUUAAUACUACCAGCUACUGGACGUUACUCGCAGAAUAAGCACCGGCUAACUCUGUGCCAGCAGCCGCGGUAAUACAGAGGGUGCGAGCGUUAAUCGGAUUUACUGGGCGUAAAGCGUGCGUAGGCGGCUAAUUGAGUCGGAUGUGAAAUCCCCGAGCUUAACUUGGGAAUUGCAUUCGAUACUGGUUAGCUAGAGUGUGGGAGAGGAUGGUAGAAUUCCAGGUGUAGCGGUGAAAUGCGUAGAGAUCUGGAGGAAUACCGAUGGCGAAGGCAGCCAUCUGGCCUAACACUGACGCUGAGGUACGAAAGCAUGGGGAGCAAACAGG